UGAGAAUACCUAUAUUUGUUAUUGAAAAAGAUUUAGAGAAAGAGAUAGAAAUGCAAUUGAACACGUUCUUCAUAUGAUGUAUCAGCAAACUGCUUCUCGAAUUAAAAUCUUUUAACGAGGGUCACUACGAUCGACUGGACACUUGACCUCGUUGACCUGGUUUCCGGAAACCUAUGAAUAAUAAAAAUGCAAAUCUCCCAGCCACGAGAUCACUUUUCAACGUACAGAGAGAGUAUCCGACUAAACGUGGAGGUAAUUAGACUGGACGAAACUCGAGUUAAUUGAAGAGCAGGCGACAGUUAACUGGAAGACACUACGCUGGUCCAUUGUAUUCAGUCUACAGCCCUCUAAAUCUCUCUCGCGAGUAGUGUUCUACCUCUUUACUUGCUAACCUUCCAUCCUCAUGGCCAUUUUGCUUUAACCUAGUAACCAACCUUCUAUCCCUUUAGCGGCUAGUGGAUAACUCUGAUCCUGAGACAAACUUAGCUAAAACCAGCUGGAUAUACAUGCACCAUGUUAAAUGGUAAUUAACUCCCGAACAUGGGGAUCGUGCACAGUGGACAUCUAUCACAUUGGAAAUUAAUUAUGA